CUACCAUUGAACUAUAAAUAAACUGGAAGGCUAACUGCUAUGAUGAAGGCCUAUGAUUUGAUGAAGCCAAAAUAGUUUUUCUGAGUUAUGAGCAGAAAUACUUGACCCCAAACGUCGGGCAAUAUAUCAAAUUGAAGCUAUUGAAAAUUGCUAUUCGGUGUGGAAAUUUCAAGACUUCAGCGAAAAGAAAAAUAUUUAAAAAAUACAAAAACAACUGCAAAACGGCAAAUUAUCGGUAAUUAUGUUUGUAGUUUUUCAAUAUUUCCCUUUUAGCUAAAGUCUUGAAAUUUCUACACCAAAUAGCGUUUUUCAAUAGCUUCAAUUUGAUAUAUAGCCCAACGUUCAGUGUUGAGUAUUUCUGCUCAUAACUCAGAAAAACUAAAAUGCACUGGCUUCAAUUCCCCCCCCCCCCUGAGUUAGCCUUCCAGUUUAUUUAUAGUUCAAU
rnacentral:lncRNA from 1 species